AUGAACGCUGGCGGCGUGCCUAAUCCAUGCAAGUCGAGCGAACGGACGAGAAGCUUGCUUCUCUGAUGUUAGCGGCGGACGGGUGAGUAACACGUGGAUAACCUACCUAUAAGACUGGGAUAACUUCGGGAAACCGGAGCUAAUACCGGAUAAUAUUUUGAACCGCAUGGUUCAAAAGUGAAAGACGGUCUUGCUGUCACUUAUAGAUGGAUCCGCGCUGCAUUAGCUAGUUGGUAAGGUAACGGCUUACCAAGGCAACGAUGCAUAGCCGACCUGAGAGGGUGAUCGGCCACACUGGAACUGAGACACGGUCCAGACUCCUACGGGAGGCAGCAGUAGGGAAUCUUCCGCAAUGGGCGAAAGCCUGACGGAGCAACGCCGCGUGAGUGAUGAAGGUCUUCGGAUCGUAAAACCCUGUUAUUAGGGAAGAACAUAUGUGUAAGUAACUGUGCACAUCUUGACGGUACCUAAUCAGAAAGCCACGGCUAACUACGUG
rnacentral:rRNA from 1 species